rnacentral:lncRNA from 1 species
UUUUCUCUCCUCCAUAGCUGGGUUUUCUUCAACUUUCAAGCUUCAUAGUAAGUGAUUCCAAGCCCCGUUUUUAAUGAUCUUUACAUUUUUGGAGUCCAGGUAACUUGAUUAAGCUUAUUCUAGCAAUAAUUCAACCUAGGGUUCAUAUUUGGAAAAAUACCCAUGGCUGAAAUUUGUUUAUUUUGGUGUUUUAUGAUAGAAUAUGAGGUUUUAAAUUAUGUUAAACAACUUAUGCUACUCGGUUUUAAGUGAAAACGAGUAAAAGGGCUUAAAUUGGAAAAAAAUACCAAUAGUCAUAAGUAUAUGUUAGAGUGUGAUUUUGAUAUUGCCAUAGAAGGGAAAAAUGAUCAGCAUGUCAUAAAACAUAAGAAAAUAGGAUGAAGUUUAAUUUACGAGCCUUGGGGAAAAAGUGCAAAUAUGUGAAAGUUUAAGGGUAAAAAUAUAAUUUUUCCAAAGUUCGGGUCAAGGACUGUUUUAAUAAAUGUGAAUAUUAAAUAAGUUAAAUUUGCUAUUAUAGAUCAAGAAGAACGAAAUUCAGGAGUAGAUCGGGGAAAAGAAAAAGUAAAGGACUAAAUUAUAAAGUUUAGUCACAUUUUGUAUCAAGGUAAGUUACAGUAAAUAAAUGCAAUAUUCUUUUAUUUUACAUUAUUAUUGUCAACUUCCAGCAUUUAUAUAUUUAUGUUAUGAAAAUAUUUAAAGUCGAAUUUAAGGUGAAGUGACAGAGGAAAAGUGUUAGAAAGCCCCGGUUGAACCCUAGGAAUGUUAGGAUAUUAGGGUUGACAGGACAGAACAGAAAUAAGCCAUGUAAGUCCAUAUUAGAAAUAUGGGUUUGGAGACAGGAUUGAGCCAUGUAAGUCCAUAUUAUAUAUGGCAUUGGAGACAGGAAUAAUUCAUGUAAGUCCAUGUCAAAGACAUGGCAUCGGCAACAUAUUCAUAGACAGGAACGACCCUAGUAUCCUUAGUAUUCCGAGUGGUUCAACGGGUCAGGAUACGAAUUAAAUUACAGUGAAUUAACAGCAAAGGAAAAGUAGAUUAUACUUAUGAAAAACGAAAGGUCAGGUAAGAAAGAAGGUAAGGGAGUAAAGAAGAAGAUAGAAAUUGAGAAGUAAAGAAAUUUAUGAUGUUAGAUGAUAUUAUGCAUAAUUAUCCAUUAUGUUGAAUGUUGUGAUUUAUUUGCUUGUAAGCUUACUAAGCCUAGUGCUUAAUCUCCUUAUUCUCUUCUUCUUAUAGUACUUAUCUAGUCACUCGGGGAUCGAAGGAAACGUCAGAGGCUGAUCACACUAUCAAAGAAAUAACUCGGUAUAAUUAGACGUUUUGUUUUGGGUAUGGCAUGUAUAGAAACUUAGCUACUUUUGGUAUAAUAUGAACAAUGAAUGAUGUGUAAAUACUUGCUAGUGAUUAGCUAAUAAAAUAGCCGAUGAUAUACAUGUUUAUUAA